rnacentral:rRNA from 1 species
GACGAACCGUGCGAACGUUGUUCGGAAUCACUGGGCUUAAAGGGCGCGUAGGCGGGCCGCCAAGUCCGGGGUGAAAUCGUCCGGCCCAACCGGACAAGUGCCUUGGAUACUGGCGGCCUCGAGCGAGGUAGGGGCAGCUGGAACUUCCGGUGGAGCGGUGAAAUGCGUUGAUAUCGGAAGGAACGCCGGUGGCGAAAGCGAGCUGCUGGACCUUUCCUGACGCUGAGGCGCGAAAGCCAGGGGAGCGAACGGGAUUAGAAACCCGCGUAGUCC